rnacentral:ncRNA from 1 species
CGCCGCGAGACGGAAUCUGAAGGAAGCCGGAGGCAAACCCUCGGCCCGAGGGACACGAACCGCAUAAGGCGCGCGCGGUGGGCAAGGCUGCGUCUCAAGUCGAAGCCCGAUAGCUGCACGGAGACCGCGCGCGUAGAUGCGGCGGGUACGCGAGGGGAAGGGUGU